CAGAGGUGCGCGUCGUAUCAGCCACACAGAGAUCACUGGGACUUUCAGCAAGUGCCACAACUGCACUGGACCAUCAUGUGGAAACGAUUUUCUGCUGUUUCUCAUUGGAAUUGAUCACCCUGGUCGAUCUGCUUACUUCCCCAGUGCACUUUACGCACGGAUUUUACCACUACAGUGGACGCAAGGAUUGUGUGGACGCAGUCACAGGAUUAUUUACUGUUGUUUAAGUGCUGACACACGUGCGGGAGUUAUUGUUGUUUGUAAAAAUCUGAUCUCUUCGUUAAUGGCAAUGGAUAAUGGAUUCAACACACACGCUGCAGACAGUUUCCUUGGAUAUAAGGUCAUUCCGUCUCUCGCAUGGGAUGAGUGCUGCUGUACAGUCCUCUCGGAGGCAUGGUGCUGGACAAGCCAGUGCUCGGACAGAGAAGUCUCCUGGGAUAGUCGCCGCUGGCUCCAGUUUGGCCAGUGUCAGGGAUCAUCAGUGACCUGAUAUGCGUUUGGAAAUGGAUGUUUAUUGUCGCGGAUUUAGGCGCAAGGAAUGGAAUAUCCUGGAAGAUUUUUUUGAAAGCGGUACUGAGUGAAUACCCAUGUCCAGUGAGUUGGAGUACUCCCCUCCCGAUCAGUCCCAAACAGUCAAGGAAGCCAGAUUCCCGGAAUGAGAUGUCUACCCUUGCUUCCCAGGGAUCCUUACCGUGAUCUCAGGUGAGCCCAGAGGAGAAGUUGGGUAAUGGAAAGACAAUCUCGACUGAUUCAGAAGGAAUGGAGAGGGCCAUACUUAAUCCUGGAUUGGACUGUGGAUCUACAUAGACUGCAGCAGAUGUCUGUUCCUGGCAUGGCUACUGACAGCAUGGGCCGUGUCAUUAACAAUCUGUCUCUCGGGAUCAAGCGCCAGCAACUUGGACUGAGAAGUUGUGACAUAAACUCAGUGGGACUGUGGAGUGUACUCCCCUCAGACAGUAUGGAACAGCUCAGUCAACCAAAUCUGGAGAGGUGCACUAUGGAAAAAUCAACUCAACAUACAUUUAGUUAAGCUAAUGGAUCUACAUAUUGUUUAACUUUGAUGGAUUUUUGUACAAGGGUCCUACACUGAACUUAUAAUAGAUUAACAUUUUCCAAAAUGUACAUCUGCUUUCUAUUUUCGGUGUUGAUUCACUGUACUGCUACAUCUGUGUAAUUGUGAAUGCACUGUUAGCAAGCAUGAGAAUUGUACAUGAGAAAUAAAUGAAUGUCAUUUUCAUUUUUAAUAUUAUUUUAUCACUCAGACAUUAUGGACAAUAAAGACUUCCAUCACAAACUA